rnacentral:rRNA from 1 species
AUUGAACGCUGGCAGCAGGCUUAACACAUGCAAGUCGAGCGGGGGAGGUUACUUCGGUAACUGACCUAGCGGCGGACGGGUGAGUAAUGCUUAGGAAUCUGCCUAUUAGUGGGGGACAACAUUCCGAAAGGAAUGCUAAUACCGCACACGUCCUACGGGGGAAAGCAGGGGAUCUUCGGACCUUGCGCUAAUAGAUGAGCCUAAGUCGGAUUAGCUAGUUGGUGGGGUAAAGGCCUACCAAGGCGACGAUCUGUAGCGGGUCUGAGAGGAUGAUCCGCCACACUGGGACUGAGACACGGCACAGGCUCCUACUGGAGGCAACAGUGGGGAAUAUUGGACAAUGGGGGGAACCCUGAUCCAGCCAUGCCGCGUGUGUGAAGAAGGACUUUUGGUUGUAAAGCACUUUAAGCGAGGAGGAGGCUCCCUUAGUUAAUACCUAAAGAGAGUGGACGUUACUCGCAGAAUAAGCACCGGCUAACUCUGUGCCAGCCGCCGCCAUAA